rnacentral:rRNA from 1 species
AAACUUCACAAUGUGCGAAAGCACGAUGAGGGAAUCCCAAGUGCUUGCACGUAAGUGUAAGCUGUUUCUUUGUUUAAAACGCAUUGAGAGUAAGGGCUGGGUAGGACGGGUGCCAACCGCCGCGGUAAUACCUGCAGCUCAAGUGGUGGCCGCUAUUAUUGGGCCUAAAACGUCCGUAGCCGGUUUUAUAAAUGCCUGGGUAAAUCGGGCCGCUC